AAAUUGAAGAGUUUGAUCAUGGCUCAGAUUGAACGCUGGCGGCAGGCCUAACACAUGCAAGUCGAACGGUAACAGGAAGCAGCUUGCUGCUUCGCUGACGAGUGGCGGACGGGUGAGUAAUGUCUGGGAAACUGCCUGAUGGAGGGGGAUAACUACUGGAAACGGUGGCUAAUACCGCAUAACGUCGCAAGACCAAAGAGGGGGACCUUCUGGCCUCUUGCCAUC
rnacentral:rRNA from 1 species